rnacentral:ncRNA from 2 species
AUAUACAGUGGUGCAAGCGGCUUCCAAACUUGCUGAUCCGGCGAUCAGGGGUUAGGAUGAAAAGGGAAUCCGGUGUAAAUCCGGAACUGUCGCGCAGCGGUGAUCGGCAACGAACGUUAUCGUAACCACUGGCUGAUUUUAAAAAGCCGGGAAGGGAUAACCAGUAGGUAAGCGUCGGAAGUAGCCUUACAGGCGCUUAGACCCGAAAGUCCGAAGACCUGCCGUGAAACCCGGGCUACC